rnacentral:tRNA from 1 species
AUUUUGAAAGCUAUUAAGCGCUGAACUUUUAAUUCAGAGAAGAUUUUUCUCAAAAUU